AUUGAACGCUGGCGGCAGGCCUAACACAUGCAAGUCGAGCGGGGUUUUCGGACCUAGCGGCGGACGGGUGAGUAAUGCGUAGGAAGCUACCCGAUAGAGGGGGAUACCAGUUGGAAACGACUGUUAAUACCGCAUAAUGUCUACGGACCAAAGUGUGGGACCUUCGGGCCACAUGCUAUCGGAUGCGCCUACGUGGGAUUAGCUAGUUGGUGAGGUAAUGGCUCACCAAGGGGACGAUCCCUAGCUGGUUUGAGAGGAUGAUCAGCCACACUGGAAAUGAGACACGGUCCAGACUCCUACGGGAGGCAGCAGUGGGGAAUAUUGGACAAUGGGCGCAAGCCUGAUCCAGCCAUGCCGCGUGUGUGAAGAAGGCCUUCGGGUUGUAAAGCACUUUCAGGAGGGAGGAAGCGUUGUGUGUUAAUAGUACACAGCGUUGACGUUACCUACAGAAGAAGCACCGGCUAACUCUGUGCCAGCCGCCGCCGUAAGAC
rnacentral:rRNA from 1 species